CCGGAAUUGAGUGGCAAACGGGUGAGUAACACGUUAAACAACCCUGGCCUUCAGGAUGGGGGACAACAGACGGAAAUAGCUGCUAAUACCGCAUAAGCGCACGGUUCGCAUGGAACAGUGGUGAAAAACUCCGGUGGUGUGAGAUGGACCCGCGUCUGAUUAGCCAGUUGGCGGGGUAACGGCCCACCAAGGCGACGAUCAGUAGCCGGUCUGAGAGGAUGAACGGCCACAUUGGGACUGAGAUACGGGCCCAGACUCCUACGGGAGGCAGCAGUGGGGAAUAUUGGGCAAUGGGGGAAACCCUGACCCAGCAACGCCGCGUGAAGGAAGAAGGCCUUCGGGUUGUAAACUUCUUUUACCAGGGACGAAAAAAGUGACGGUACCUGGAGAAAAAGCAACGGCUAACUACGUG
rnacentral:rRNA from 1 species